GAGAGCUCAGAAGAACAUAGAAAAAUGUGGGAAAGUUGGAACUUUCUAGGGACUUGUUGAAUGGCUUUGACCAAAAUGGUAAUAGUGAUACGGACAAUACAAGCUGAGGUGGUCUUAGAUGAAGAUGAGGAACUUGUUGGGAACUUGAAUAAACAUGACCCUUGCUAUGCUUUGGCAAAGAAACUGGCAGCAUUUUGUCCCUGCUCUAGAGAUCUGUGGAACUUUGAACUUGAGAGAGAUGAUUUAUGGUAUCUGGCAGAAGAAAUUUCUAAGCAGCAAAGCCUUCAAGAGGUGAUUUGGGGGCUGUUAAAUGCAUUCAGUU